rnacentral:rRNA from 1 species
CCUACGGGAGGCAGCAGUGGGGAAUAUUGGACAAUGGGGGGAACCCUGAUCCAGCGACGCCGCGUGAGUGAAGAAGUUUUUCGGUAUGUAAAGCUCUAUCAGCAGGGAAGAAAGACAUGACGGUACCUGACUAAUAAGCCCCGGCUAACUACGUGCCAGCAGCCGCGGUAAUACGUAGGGGGCAAGCGUUAUCCGGAUUUACUGGGCGUAAAGGGAGCGUAGACGGCGAUGCAAGUCUGAAGUGAAAGGCGGGGGCUCAACCCCUGGACUGCUUUGGAAACUGUAUGGCUGGAGUGCAGGAGAGGUAAGUGGAAUUCCUAGUGUAGCGGUGAAAUGCGUAGAUAUUAGGAGGAACACCAGUGGCGAAGGCGGGUUACUGGACUGUAACUGACGUUGAGGCUCGAAAGCGUGGGGAGCAAACAGGAUUAGAUACCCCAGUAGUC